UGCCUAGUUCGGCAGUUUUCUGUCGUAUAUUUUAAUUUGCUAUCUUAAUUCCAAUAAUCAUACGAACAGAUUUUUCUAAUUUGUUUAACCACAAAAAUAAACAAGCAGGGCAAUGUUUUCCCUUGUCAUUAUUUGUCUGUUUGUCAUGAUAAAACGUCGAGUUUAUGCGCAAGGUUCCAUAAGUGACAUCGAUGGGGAACUUGGCUUGGACGGAGGGACAGCAUGGUGGGAAAACGAUGAGGAAGUGGAUGCUAGAAUAUCACCUUUCUUCCCUUUUAAAGCAAAGCUUUACAUCGAAAUGCUUGGUUCUGGAAUCUUGGAGGGAGAAGUAGUUAAUUUCACAAUUGAAGUCAGCUUACAGGAGUUAAUAGACUCAUUUGGUCAGGGUGGAUCGACGUAUUCCAACCUAACUAGCAUUUAUUUUACUCUACAAGCAGAUGAAUGGGGAGUAAUAAAAUCAAGUUUGGUCGUAUUCGUCCUUGAACCGAACGAACUAAUUACAGGAGAAAAUCGUAUAGAAUGCUUUGUAACACAGAAAAUGAUCAUUACUGAGACCAUAGAAAUAGACUUUGUAGCUGAACUGUUAACAAUUGAUGGAAUGCAAGGGUUAAGUUGGAAGAACAUUGGUGGCGGUGACUGUGGGAUACAACAGUUUUUGGGGGAAAACAUUCUGCGAGAGGAGCAGACAUACAGGGUUAACUUAGUGUUGGAGUCACUGACUGAGGGAUAUUCGCCUUCACAAGUCAACGAGAAGCUUGGAUUUACGUAUGAAAUGAUCGGUGUUCGAAUAGGUAGUAUAUCAUACUUAACUUUCCAUACAUAUCAUUACACAUUCAAUGCAGACCAUUGUAUAUUGUCAGCAUAUAGUUAUAUUUAUUAUUAUAUUACUAUUAUUAUACUAGUACUGAAUACUAUAUAUUAUGAUCUUAUGAUGGUGGCUUUGCAUGUUUCCUUAACAACAGAUAUGAAACCCAGUAUAUAUCAUUAUCAAUGAGAAGUGACGGUAGACGAGGCAUUCUUGACUGUAAUUACUGGCCAGUCUGCGGUGGUAGCUGUAAAAGUUAAAAUGACGUGGGACCACUUAGCGGAAAGUUAGCCGUUUAUAGAUGGAGGUGAACACAGAACGAAAGUGGAGACAAGGAAACCAAGUUUCUGUUAAACUUUGGUUGGAUGUCCGCCAAAAGACAAAACGAAAUUGAUGAACCAUUAUUCAAUAGAACGAUAAAUGAGUAUGACGGAGUAGUUUAGGAGUAGCAAGAACUUGGAAUGACUGAGAGGGAGACUGAGAGGAUGUGAUCGCUCAAAACGAUUUUUGAGCGAUCUGCACAAUGAUAUUAUUUCAUUUCUGCACAACGAUAUCAUCAAAUUCAGUGUUUUUAUACUCCAACCGGGCAAUGAUAGCGAUAACUUUCCAUUUAAAUUUCAUGUUUUCAAUUGAUGAUUAUGACAUUGAUAAUUAAGUAGUAUUUAAUUUUUUUAUAAAAUGCGAGGCUUUUAUUUUUAGAUUAAUAGCGGGUAUCUAUCAGUAUCAAGCAGCAUAUUUUAAAAGAUAAACUGUAAUUUAGGGUUUUUGUUUAAAAAUAAUAAAAAGUUAAACUACAGUUUUGGUUUAUAAUUAUACUUAUAGCUCCAGUCUGUAUUCACAAUAUUAUAAUAUAUUAUUUGGACAGUUGUAAUACAAUUACAUAUAUUUGAUAAUUGAUAUAAAUUGUUAAAACUCAACUGUAAAAACGUUAAAAAGUUAAAAUGGUGAAAUAAAGUUACAAUAUAAUUCGAAACUAUGGAAAUUAAUCAUUACCACAAUUAAAUUCAAAUAACA